rnacentral:rRNA from 1 species
AAGCCCUUCGGGGGAAAGAUUUAUCGCCGAAAGAUCGGCCCGCGUAAGAUUAGCUAGUUGGUGAGGUAAUGGCUCACCAAGGCUACGAUCUUUAGCUGGUCUGAGAGGAUGAUCAGCCACACUGGGACUGAGACACGGCCCAGACUCCUACGGGAGGCAGCAGUGGGGAAUAUUGGACAAUGGGCGCAAGCCUGAUCCAGCCAUGCCGCGUGAGUGAUGAAGGCCUUAGGGUUGUAAAGCUCUUUUAGCAGGGACGAUAAUGACGGUACCUGCAGAAAAAGCCCCGGCCAACUUCGUGCCAGCAGCCGCGGUAAUACGAAGGGGGCUAGCGUUGCUCGGAAUCACUGGGCGUAAAGCGCACGUAGGUGGGUCGUUAAGUCGGGGGUGAAAUCCCAGAGCUCAACUCUGGAACUGCCUUCGAUACUGGCGACCUUCGAGUUCGGGAGAGGUGAGUGGAACUGCGAGUGUAGAGGUGAAAUUCGUAGAUAUUCGCAAGAACACCAGUGGCGAAGGCGGCUCACUGGCCCGAUACUGACACUGAGGUGCGAAAGCGUGG